GAACGCUGAAGCCCUGGUGCUUGCACCGGGGUGGAUGAGUGGCGAACGGGUGAGUAACACGUGAGUAACCUGCCCCCGACUUCGGGAUAAGCCCGGGAAACUGGGUCUAAUACCGGAUAUGACCAUCACUCGCAUGAKUGAUGGUGGAAAGUUUUUUCGGUUGGGGAUGGGCUCGCGGCCUAUCAGUUUGUUGGUGAGGUAAUGGCUCACCAAGACGACGACGGGUAGCCGGCCUGAGAGGGCGACCGGCCACACUGGGACUGAGACACGGCCCAGACUCCUACGGGAGGCAGCAGUGGGGAAUAUUGCACAAUGGGGGAAACCCUGAUGCAGCGACGCAGCGUGCGGGAUGACGGCCUUCGGGUUGUAAACCGCUUUCAGCAGGGAAGAAGCCYYUYGGGGUGACGGUACCUGCAGAAGAAGUACCGGCUAACUACGUGCCAGCAGCCGCGGUAAUACGUAGGGUACAAGCGUUGUCCGGAAUUAUUGGGCGUAAAGAGCUCGUAGGUGGUUGGUCACGUCUGCUGUGGAAACGCAACGCUUAACGUUGCGCGUGCAGUGGGUACGGGCUGACUAGAGUGCAGUAGGGGAGUCUGGAAUUCCUGGUGUAGCGGUGAAAUGCGCAGAUAUCAGGAGGAACACCGGUGGCGAAGGCGGGACUCUGGGCUGUAACUGACACUGAGGAGCGAAAGCAUGGGGAGCGAACAGGAUUAGAUACCCUGGUAGUCCAUGCCGUAAACGUUGGGCACUAGGUGUGGGGGACAUUCCACGUUCUCCGCGCCGUAGCUAACGCAUUAAGUGCCCCGCCUGGGGAGUACGGUCGCAAGGCUAAAACUCAAAGGA
rnacentral:rRNA from 1 species